UGCUCAGUAGUCGGUGUAGAAUC
rnacentral:miRNA from 2 species